rnacentral:rRNA from 1 species
UACAGAGGUCUCAAGCGUUGUUCGGAUUCAUUGGGCGUAAAGGGUGCGUAGGCUGUGAGGUAAGUCUGGUGUGAAAUCCCGGGGCUCAACCCCGGAACUGCACUGGAUACUGCUUUACUAGAGCACUGGAGAGGGAACUGGAAUUUACGGUGUAGCAGUGAAAUGCGUAGAUAUCUGGAGGAACACCGGUGGCGAAGGCGGCUACCUGGCCCAACAUUGACGCUGAGACCCGAAAGCAUGGGGAUCAAACAGG